rnacentral:lncRNA from 1 species
ACAUUAUAUAAAAACUAUAAUUCAACUGGGAUCAUAACAGUUGGUAAUCAGAGCGAUCGAUCCUUGGGCGAUGGCUGAUGUUACGAGAUUCAAAGACCUACAAGAGGCACAAAAGAAGUUAGAUAAAGUAUUACAAGCAGAAUCGUUCAAAAGGGAGGCAGCUGAAGUCAAAAUGCAGGAAAAGAUGAAUAAAAUGGCUGAUGAAAUGCAGAAACAUCUUUCAAGUGUAGAUGGUAAAUUUGAACACUUAACCUCUACCCUAGCAUCUUUACAAUUACAGUUAUUGAAUAUGAGUAAAAGUAGUGGGGGUCAGGAUUCUGAGUCAAUCUUAGGGAGUCAUGAGCAUUACUACAGUGGGGGUGGUAGUGGGGGAAAACUCCUUAUUCUCACAAGUACAGAUUGCAGGGUGAAGGGGGUGGAGGAAGUCCCAUAAUCACUCCCUUACCAAAGCUUGAUUUCCCUAGAUUUGACGGAACUUAUCCGAGGGCUUGGAUUUUGAAGUGCAGGGGCUAUUUUGAUUUAAUUCCUAAUCUACCUGAUUCCCAAAAAGUGAGGAUGGCUGCUAUGCACUUUGAGGGAAAGGCUUCACUAUGGUUCCAAAACCUAUCUGGUAAACCUUAUGAGCUAAAUUGGGAGCAAUUUGUUGAUCUGAUUUCAGCAAGGUUUGAGGAACUCAAAGAAACCAAGAUUGUGGCAGAAUUUAACAAAUUGAGAAUGACUGGUAAUUAUGCUGAUUAUGUGGACAAAUUUGAGGAACUCAGAGCAUGCAUGGUGCUUGUUAAUGGGGGUGAAUUUUCAGAAGAAUACUUUAUUGCUAGCUUUGUAAGUGGACUAGGGGAGGAGCUACAAUCCUUCAUUAGGAUGUUUAAUCAUAUCACUCUAAGCCAAGCAAUUGAGUUGGGGAGAAAUCAACUACUCACCCUUGAUGCACUUACAAGAAAGUUGAAGGGUAACUACAAGAGUAAUAAUGGGUCAGGCCAGUUUAUGAGAAAGGCAGAAUCUGUAACACCCAUUGUUCCACAGAAAGUGAGUGGAGAUACAUCAAAGGUACCCUUUAAAUUCUUAAAACCUGAGGAAAUGGAGGCAAGAAGAAGUAAAAGGUUAUGUUAUAAUUGUGACGAGAUAUACAAACCUGGCCAUAGAUGCAAGCAGAGGAUCUCUUACCUUAUAAUGACUGAAGAAGAAGAGCUGGAAUUGAUGCAGGCUGAGGCUGAAGAAGUUGAUGGGGAAUUUGAAGCAAAAACCAUGGAAGAAGUGGUUGUAG